rnacentral:rRNA from 1 species
AACGAACGCUGGCGGCAGGCCUAACGCAUGCAAGUCGAGCGAGGACUUCGGUCCUAGCGGCGGACGGGUGAGUAACGCGUGGGAACGUGCCCUUUGCUUCGGAAUAGCCCUGGGAAACUGGGAGUAAUACCGGAUGAGCCCUUUGGGGGAAAGAUUUAUCGGCGAAGGAUCGGCCCGCGUUGGAUUAGGUAGUUGGUGGGGUAAUGGCCUACCAAGCCGACGAUCCAUAGCUGGUUUGAGAGGAUGAUCAGCCACACUGGGACUGAGACACGGCCCAGACUCCUACGGGAGGCAGCAGUGGGGAAUCUUAGACAAUGGGGGAAACCCUGAUCUAGCCAUGCCGCGUGAGCGAUGAAGGCCUUAGGGUUGUAAAGCUCUUUCAGCUGGGAAGAUAAUGACGGUACCAGCAGAAGAAGCCCCGGCUAACUCCGUG